GAUGAACGCUGGCGGCGUGCCUAAUACAUGCAAGUCGAGCGAACGGACGAGAAGCUUGCUUCUCUGAUGUUAGCGGCGGACGGGUGAGUAACACGUGGAUAACCUACCUAUAAGACUGGGAUAACUUCGGGAAACCGGAGCUAAUACCGGAUGAUAUUUUGAACCGCAUGGUUCAAAAGUGAAAGACGGUCUUGCUGUCACUUAUAGAUGGAUCCGCGCUGCAUUAGCUAGUUGGUAAGGUAACGGCUUACCAAGGGAACGAUGCAUAGCCGACCUGAGAGGGUGAUCGGCCACACUGGAACUGAGACACGGUCCAGACUCCUACGGGAGGCAGCAGUAGGGAAUCUUCCGCAAUGGGCGAAAGCCUGACGGAGCAACGCCGCGUGAGUGAUGAAGGUCUUCGGAUCGUAAAACUCUGUUAUUAGGGAAGAACAUAUGUGUAAGUAACUGUGCACAUCUUGACGGUACCUAAUCAGAAAGCCACGGCUAACUACGUG
rnacentral:rRNA from 1 species